rnacentral:lncRNA from 1 species
CCUUGGAACUGUGACCAGGUUCUCUGCUCCUUUGUGACAGACCACAAGUAUUCUUCUCUAUCCUAGAAAUAUGACCCAUAAUGUCUUUGGGUUGAGACCUCCUAACGCUAUUGCUACUACCAACUCAAAUGCCUCCAAGGUCCAAUUGGUACUACAGUCUCAGUUGAUACAGGAUUACAUCUUCGGAUAUGGAGGAAGGAUGUCCUACAAUUACAAGAAUUAUCUUUGCAUUGAAGAAAGAUUCACCAAGAAGAGAAGGAAGGAAUUGUACCAAAUUGAAUGUCAUCUAAUGUAUCACAAAGCAUCCCAGCAGAGCUCUAUCAAAGCCGAGUGAAGGUCAAGUGAAGGUUGAGCAGAUGACUUCAUGCAAACUCCUGCCAAAAUCCUGAGAUCUUCUGUCUUCUUCUGGAAAUUAUCCAAAUAAAUUCAAGUACAAUUUUGGAUGCUGUGCA